UACAGAGGGUGCAAGCGUUGUUCGGAAUUAUUGGGCGUAAAGGGAGUGUAGGCGGCUUGUUAAGUCUUCUGUGAAAUCUACGGGCUCAGCCUGUAAAAGUGCAGAGGAAACUGGCGAGCUUGAGUGUCGGAGAGGAUAGGGGAAUACCCGGUGUAGAGGUGAAAUUCGUAGAGAUCGGGUGGAACACCAGUGGCGAAGGCGGCCUUCUGGACCAGCACUGACACUCAAGCACGAAAGCGUGGGGAGCAAACAGG
rnacentral:rRNA from 1 species